rnacentral:rRNA from 1 species
ACUACGGGUGGCAGCAGUGAGGAAUAUUGGUCAAUGGGCGGAAGCCUGAACCAGCCAAGUAGCGUGCAGGAUGACGGCCCUACGGGUUGUAAACUGCUUUUAUACGGGAAUAACGCGCCUUACGUGUAGGGCUUUGCAUGUACCGUAUGAAUAAGGAACGGCUAAUUACGUGCCAGCAGCCGCGGUAAUAAGGAAGGUCCGGGCGUUAUCCGGAUUUAUGGGGUUUAAAGGGAUCGUAGGCCGAAUGUUAAGGGUGCGGUGAAAUGGCGGGGCUGAACCCGGGCCUUGAAGCGCGAACUGGCGUGCUUGAGUCCGCGGAAAGCAGGCGGAAUUCGUCGUGUAGCGGUGAAAUGCUUAGAUAUGACGAAGAACCCCGAUUGCGAAGGCAGCUUGCUGCAGCGGAACUGACGCUGAUGCUCGAAAGCGCGGGUAUCGAACAGGAUUAGAUACCCUUGUAGUC